rnacentral:misc_RNA from 1 species
GUACUCUCACACUCCCGAUCUUUGGAUUGGGAGCGGUGGACUUGGGUGUUGCUGCUUACCGUGGCUCACCUCAAAUGCAUUAGUGCACCUCUUGGUUGGACAUAGUACGGCGUGAUAAGUGUCUUCGCCGGCGCCUCACUUAGAGGGUGGCCGAUCGGGAGCUCUCUGUGCUUCAAACCGUCCUCGGACAACAACUGACA